rnacentral:rRNA from 1 species
AUUGAACGCUGGCGGCAGGCUUAACACAUGCAAGUCGAGCGGAGAUGAGGUGCUUGCACCUUAUCUUAGCGGCGGACGGGUGAGUAAUGCUUAGGAAUCUGCCUAUUAGUGGGGGACAACAUUCCGAAAGGAAUGCUAAUACCGCAUACGUCCUACGGGAGAAAGCAGGGGAUCUUCGGACCUUGCGCUAAUAGAUGAGCCUAAGUCGGAUUAGCUAGUUGGUGGGGUAAAGGCCUACCAAGGCGACGAUCUGUAGCGGGUCUGAGAGGAUGAUCCGCCACACGGGGGCUGGGACACGGCCCAGACUCCUACGGGAGGCAGCAGUGGGGAAUAUUGGACAAUGGGGGGAACCCCGAUCCAGCCAUGCCGCGUGUGUGAAGAAGGCCUUAUGGUUGUAAAGCACUUUAAGCGAGGAGGAGGCUACUGAGACUAAUACUCUUGGAUAGUGGACGUUACUCGCAGAAUAAGCACCGGCUAACUCUGUGCCAGCCGCCGCGGUAACAC